UGUGUUUGGACCAGGUUCUUGAUCAGCAAGGUGUAGGGCAAUUGAUCAAGAUGGCGACAGAAAAAGGACGAGCAGCUAUGCCUAGCCUCAAGGUUGGGAUAUGUGGAGAACAUGGAGGAGAUCCAUCGUCUGUGGGAUUCUUUGCUGAAGCAGGACUUGACUAUGUCUCUUGUUCUCCUUUCAGAGUUCCAAUUGCAAGGCUUGCAGCUGCUCAAGUUGUUGCAUGAUGAAGAAAACAUGGUGGCAUUAUUCUGUGAAUAAAGAAGCUUUGGGUUUUGUUACAUGAAACUGAACAAAAUCAAAAGAAAUUGGAUUUAACUCUUUUUGUUUCCUUCUAAAGAAAGUAGAAUAUAUAAAACCCUUCAUGUGAUAAUUGAAUUGCUAAUAAAAUAAAGACCAUUGUUCCUAAACAAAAUACAUGAGGAAGACAAUGUAAGACAGCGGAAUGAGAUUCUAUCAACU